CCUCGCGGCCGUAGCGCGGUGGUCCCACCUGACCCCACAUGCCGAACUCAGAAGUGAAACGCCGUAGCCGAUGGUAGUGUGGGGUCUCCCAUGCGAGAGUAGGGAACCGCCGUGC
rnacentral:rRNA from 1 species